rnacentral:rRNA from 1 species
UUAACUGGUCUGAGAGGAUGAUCAGUCACACUGGAACUGAGACACGGUCCAGACUCCUACGGGAGGCAGCAGUAGGGAAUAUUGCGCAAUGGGGGAAACCCUGACGCAGCAACGCCGCGUGGAGGAUGACACUUUUCGGAGCGUAAACUCCUUUUCUUAGGGAAGAAUUCUGACGGUACCUAAGGAAUAAGCACCGGCUAACUCCGUGCCAGCAGCCGCGGUAAUACGGAGGGUGCAAGCGUUACUCGGAAUCACUGGGCGUAAAGGGCGCGUAGGCGGAUUAUCAAGUCUCUUGUGAAAUCUAAUGGCUUAACCAUUAAACUGCUUGGGAAACUGAUAGUCUAGAGUGAGGGAGAGGCAGAUGGAAUUGGUGGUGUAGGGGUAAAAUCCGUAGAUAUCACCAAGAAUACCCAUUGCGAAGGCGAUCUGCUGGAACUCAACUGACGCUAAGGCGCGAAAGCGUGGGGAGCAAACAGGAUUAGAUACCCUGGUAGUCCACGCCCUAAACGAUGUACACUAGUUGUUGGGGUGCUAGUCAUCUCAGUAAUGCAGCUAACGCAUUAAGUGUACCGCCUGGGGAGUACGGUCGCAAGAUUAAAACUCAAAGGAAUAGACGGGGACCCGCACAAGCGGUGGAGCAUGUGGUUUAAUUCGAAGAUACGCGAAGAACCUUACCUGGGCUUGAUAUCCUAAGAACCUUAUAGAGAUAUGAGGGUGCUAGCUUGCUAGAACUUAGAGACAGGUGCUGCACGGCUGUCGUCAGCUCGUGUCGUGAGAUGUUGGGUUAAGUCCCGCAACGAGCGCAACCCACGUAUUUAGUUGCUAACGGUUCGGCCGAGCACUCUAAAUAGACUGCCUUCGUAAGGAGGAGGAAGGUGUGGACGACGUCAAGUCAUCAUGGCCCUUAUGCCCAGGGCGACACACGUGCUACAAUGGCAUAUACAAUGAGACGCAAUACCGCGAGGUGGAGCAAAUCUAUAAAAUAUGUCCCAGUUCGGAUUGUUCUCUGCAACUCGAGAGCAUGAAGCCGGAAUCGCUAGUAAUCGUAGAUCAGCCAUGCUACGGUGAAUACGUUCCCGGGUCUUGUACUCACCGCCCGUCACACCAUGGGAGUUGAUUUCACUCGAAGCCGGAAUACUAAACUAGUUACCGUCCACAGUGGAAUCAGCGACUGGGGUGAAGUCGUAACAAGGUAACCGUAGGAGAACCUGCGGUUGGAUCACCUCCUUUCUA